GAUGAACGCUGGCGGCGUGCCUAAUACAUGCAAGUCGAGCGAACGGACGAGAAGCUUGCUUCUCUGAUGUUAGCGGCGGACGGGUGAGUAACACGUGGAUAACCUACCUAUAAGACUGGGAGAACUUCGGGAAACCGUAGCUAAUACCGGAUAAUAUUUUGAACCGCAUGGUUCAAAAGUGAAAGACGGUCUUGCUGUCACUUAUAGAUGGAUCCGCGUUGCAUUAGCUAGUUGGUAAGGUAACGGCUUACCAAGGCAACGAUGCAUAGCCGACCUGAGAGGGUGAUCGGCCACACUGGAACUGAGACACGGUCCAGACUCCUACGGGAGGCAGCAGUAGGGAAUCUUGCGCAAUGGGCGAAAGCCUGACGGAGCAACGCCGCGUGGGUGAUGAAGGUCUUCGGAUCGUAAAACUCUGUUAUUAGGGAAGAACAUAUGUGUAAGUAACUGUGCACAUCUUGACGGUACCUAAUCAGAAAGCCCCGGCUAACUACGUG
rnacentral:rRNA from 1 species